GGUGCUGUGGCUGAGUAGGUUAAGCAUCCUAUAUGGACCCUGGUUCAAGUCCUGACUGCUCCA
rnacentral:tRNA from 1 species